rnacentral:rRNA from 1 species
UGGGGAAUUUUGGACAAUGGGCGAAAGCCUGAUCCAGCAAUGCCGCGUGAGUGAAGAAGGCCUUCGGGUUGUAAAGCUCUUUUGUCAGGGAAGAAACGGUGAAAGCUAAUAUCUUUUGCUAAUGACGGUACCUGAAGAAUAAGCACCGGCUAACUACGUGCCAGCAGCCGCGGUAAUACGUAGGGUGCAAGCGUUAAUCGGAAUUACUGGGCGUAAAGCGUGCGCAGGCGGUUUUGUAAGUCUGAUGUGAAAUCCCCGGGCUCAACCUGGGAAUUGCAUUGGAGACUGCAAGGCUAGAAUCUGGCAGAGGGGGGUAGAAUUCCACGUGUAGCAGUGAAAUGCGUAGAUAUGUGGAGGAACACCGAUGGCGAAGGCAGCCCCCCUGGGUCAAGAUUGACGCUCAUGCACGAAAGCGUGGGGAGCAAACAGGAUUAGAUACCCUGGUAGUCCACGCCCUAAACGAUGUCUACUAGUUGUCGGGUCUUAAUUGACUUGGUAACGCAGCUAACGCGUGAAGUAGACCGCCUGGGGAGUACGUCGCAAGAUUAAAACUCAAAUGAAUUG